rnacentral:rRNA from 1 species
GACGAACGCUGGCGGUGUGCUUAAUACAUGCAAGUCAACUUGACUUUAGAUAGCAAUAUCGAAAAGUAGGGUGGCGCACGGGUGCGUAACGCGUAGGUAAUCUGCCCUGAGGUCUGACAUAACCCGUCGAAAGGCGGGCUAACAUCAGAUGAUAUAUAAUCACGACAUCGUGGAAAUAUCAAAUCUUCGGAGCCUUGGGAUGAGCCUGCGUCUGAUUAGGUACGUUGGCGGAGUAAUAGCCCACCAAGCCUACGAUCAGUAGCUGGUCUGAGAGGAUGAUCAGCCACACUGGAACUGAGCACGGUCCAGACUCCUACGGGAGGCAGCAGUAAGGAAUAUUGCUCAAUGGGGGAAACCCUGAAGCAGCAACGCCGCGUGAAGGAUGAAAUACUUUGAUGUAAACUUCUGUAAG